CAUCGUUAUUAUUAUUAUUAUUAUUAUUAUUAUUAUUAUUAUUAUUAUUAUUAUUAUUUAAUAUUGGAUUUUACUGUAUUACUUCUUAUUCUCUUUCCUUAUUCUUUUUUCCUUCUUCUUCAUUUCCAUGAUAAUCCUUCGAUAUAAAAGCAAACAAGUUAGAUUCGAUUGUAGUUCGACUACGACAACCAUCAUUAUAAAUAAUAAUUAAAGGAUUCGUUAGGGGGUGGCUAAGUAGUAGAUAAGCCAUAACACGUCAAUCGGAAUUUUUUUUUUUUGAACUACUUCGCUAUGAUCAACUCGCGACGAAAACGUUCUAUAAUCACGCGAUUGUUUCGAGGCCCGACGAUAACGCUCAUACAAAGUCGUUAAAGUGAAUCGAAAAUGUGUUCCCUAUCGCCGGCAUAUAUAUAUAUAUAUAUAUAUAUAUAUAUAUAUAUAUAUAUAUGUAUAUGUAUAUAUAUAUAUGCAUACGUUCUAUUUUAACCUAUAAAACAAAUAUGAGACUUCAAAAUGGCCAAUGCAAUUCAAGAUAGCCUAUCGAAAUCAAAUUAUUAUACUUGUUCCUCUACAAAAAAAAAAAAAAAAAAAAAAAAAAAAAAAGAAGGACAAAUGUAACACGGGAUAAUAGCAAAAUGGCAGUCACACAAUUCAAGAUGGCAAUACCACAUUCACUUGGCAUAUUUUAUCGUUCGUAAAAAAUCACGGAGAUAAUUGAUCGAGGAAGUAAAAAUUUUUUUGUAAUAUAUUAAAAUGAACAAAAUUCAGGAACGUAUUUAGGAUGGGAUAAUAAGGGGCGUGGAUUUUUAAAUAUUUCAAAAAUUUUUUCGAAAAAAAUGUAAACGAUAAGGUGAUUAUCGUGCGCUCAACAUUGCGUCUCCAAUUGCAAAAUUAGCCAAUAGUGAGCCAUUGUGGCCGACCAAUUUCAACUAUGGAGACUCUAAACGGCUUUAGUAACGGUGACACGAGCCAAAGCGAGAAAUUUCAGGGCAAUACGAGAGGCAAUGGGAGGUCGUCCUCGAGUAAAGCGAGCUCGAUUCUCUCUCUUCCCCUCUCUCUUUCUCUAUAUAUCUCUCUAUCUCACUCACACUCUCACUCACCCUUCGUAAGAGUCGCUCGAAAACUCGGUCAAAGUCUCGUCGCCGCGACGUCUCGCUUUGGGGAUUCGAAGAAAGGAAGGAAGGAAGGAAGGGUCACCUACUUCUUCUCUUCUUUCUUCUCUUCGUUUCUUUUUAAAAGAUAUCUACUCGAUCGGUCGUACCGUCUACAGUCAUUAACCUUCGAUCCAAUAUUCUCGUCAAAUGAUACGUUCUUUUUUUACUUUUACAUAAUAUAUACAAAUAUGCAUAUAUAUAUAUAUAUAUAUAUAUAUUUUUUUUUUCUAUUAAGAAUAUAAACAUUGUAGUUAUUUAUUGGACAAUGAUAUUAUUAAUAUUUGCAUAUUUUUUAGUUUGAUUAGAGCCUUUAUGAAAUAAAUGAAUUUCGUUAAAUAAUAAUUUUUAAACAAAAAUUGAUUAUAUUAAUAAUACUCGUUAGGACAUCGAUCGAUAUUCCAAAUAAUAAUUUCUAGAAAUGAUUGAUUAUCUUUUAAAUAGAAAUUUUGAUAAUUUUCAUCUCUGAAUAUUAAUUAAAAAAAAAAAAAAAAAAAAAAAAAAAAAAAAAAAAAAAAAAAAAAAAAAAAGAACAAUUAUUCGCAAUUGUUUUAAUUUUAUUUUAUAUGUAAUACAUAUUUUUUAAAUAUUGAUCAUUUAUUAAACAACAAUUUCGUUAAUUUUCAAGAAUGUCGAAUCUCCUAUCUCCCCACCACCUUGCGCCCGUAACAAAAAAAUUACUUAUCAUUUGCAAGUUUUUAAUAUUCUUAAUAAUUUCUAAGUAAUAAUUUGAAAUAUUUCUCAUUAUCAAUUGAUUAACGUUCACAAACACACACACACAAACACACACAGACGCGCAUACGAAGAUUAAUCAAUGAGAAUGAUUAAUCCGUGCGAUAUCAAUUCGUAUCACCGAAUAAUAAAUAGUAUUUCCAAAUUUCAAUUCCCCCUAUUAUUCGAUUUAUAAAAUCAAAAGAAGAAGAACAUAGAUAUGUCAGUGAGGACAUUGAAAAGGGGAGAAAAGAAAAGAAUGUACUCUUUAAGUAUCAGUCGAGAUCGUAAAGGAGAGGGAGGGCAGGUUUGCGAAGAAGUAUAGUGUCUCGGUAAGAUAAGCUUUGAAUUUGUUCCCUCAUCGAUACUCUCGAUUCAAGUUCAGAGUGUGUGUACCUAUCCCCUACCACUCAUGAACCCACCCCCUAUUUCGCAUUUUAUUCGACGAUGAAUCAAGGAGGAGUCGAGAAACGUUGAGGGUAUGGGAAGGGGGGAAAUGAUAAAAAAAAGAAGAGAGAGAGAGAGAGAGAGAGAGAGAGAGAGAGAAAGAAAAAAAAACGAGGGGGAGGAAUCACCACCGCUAUCGCCGCCACCGUCGCUACCACCUCCACCACCACCUAUCGUUGAAAUUCGUAAGGGUAGGUCAGAACCGCGAGAAACGAGAUGGGUAGAAAUCAUAAAAUUCGAUCGGCCCGACCUAGUCAAGAGGGAAUCACCCCUCUGCCUAUUCUCUGUCUCUCUCUGUCUCUCUCUCUCUCUCUCUCUCUCUCUCUCUCUCUCACCCCCACUUUUUAUACACACACACGUACACACAUACAUAUACUCUCUGUCUGCCUGCCUGUCUCUUUUUUUUUCCCUCUCUUUUUCUAUCUUUCAAUAUAUGUAGGUAUAUCCGAUAUAUCCACUUCUCUCGUUUAUUCUUCGUUCCGGUUGUGAUACCAACCAACCUUCAUACUUUCCCGUCAUGUGUAUGUGUAUAUAUGCGCGCGCGCGCGCGCGUGUGUGCGCUUAUGUGUUUGUGUGCGUACUUACACAAUAGCGUCCACCAGGGUUAUUAUGAAAUCUAGUGAUUUCUUUUUUUUUUUUUUCUUUUUCUUUUUUCUUUUUUUUUUCCGUCGGGACAAGUCAAUUUUAUUUUCGAAGGAUAAAAGGGAAGGGACAUAUACUUAUCAUAUAAUAUAUAUUCAACCAUUUUAGGCUAACCAUCUAAUGUAAGGGAUGCGGUGGUGGGGCGACUGACAACCCCCUUUUCGAAAAUCUUAUAUCGUCGACGAUAGUCACGGAGUAGCAUAUCGUUUGAAAGGUCUUUUAAUUCUCUUUACGAUGGUUGAAAACAACUUUCAAUUAUAUUUUAUGAAAUAUUCGAAAUGUGUAUCAUCAAACCUGUCGAUGUAGUAAUAAAAUCUUUAACGCGAUGUACAUCAAACAUUCCGCAAUACAUCCGGUGUAUAUCGAUGAAUACGUAGCCUGAUAUCUUGGGUAACCAAAUUAUUCGUCCACUCUUUUUGCUAAAUAAUUUGUCCGAAGAGUCGUAUCUACGAUUUAUUUUAGAGAACUAGAUUCAUCCCCAUUGAUUUGAUAUUUUUCCCAUGGGGAAUAUUGAAAAUCCAAAAUAUUCCGCCAAUCAACCGGAUUCAUUAGAAGAAUUUCAGAAACGCAUGAUCGAAGAAUAGUCGUUAGAUUACACUAAAUUUGUAACUGUUGAAGAGAACGUAGAGAUGUAACGUCGAGCAAGGAUUUUAUUAUUGCAUGGAGAAAUCGGCGAUACGCCAUUUUGAAUAUUUAAGAAAAUAAAAAAGAACAAAAAAAAAAAAAAAGAGAGAAACAAAAAUUGUUUUCAAUCAGAAAAUUCAAACCGCAUUUGUUCGAGGAUUAUUGAUUGAAAUUAAAAAAAAAAAAAAAAAAAAAAAAAAAAAAAAAAAAAAAGAAAAAUAAAUAAAAGGAAAGAAAAGAAAAAAAGUGACGUCAUUGUAAGGAGAAUUAAAAGAUCUUUCAAAUGAUAUAUCAUUUUACUUUUAUUGACAUUUAAAAAGUUAUCCAAUUUAUCUACAGUUUAUUAUUAUAUUAUAAUUGUAUCGUUAUUCGUUUUAUCGAGAUUACAAAUAUCUAUUAUAAUUAUUGACUAAUUAUUUUCUGAAUUAAAAAGAAAAAUAUAUAUAUAUAUAUAAAAUAUAUUACUUAGGAGAAAAAAAUAUUUGGCUGGAUUUUCAAUGAGGACCACUAAAUGAUUGCAAUAAAAAUACUCCUUAAUAUAUUUUUAAUGUAGAAACGCCGAUCAAUAAAUGUUGUAAAUCAGAUACACACACACACAUACACAUACACACACACAUACACACAUGCACAAACAUAGACGUUAUUACUUUAGAAAAACACCACCGAUAUUUUACGAUCAAGUUUGGUAAAACAUGAAAAAAAGAAGAAAAUAAAGUGCAAGGUAAAACGGACCUCUUGUGGAUAAAGAGAGAUCGAAAAGGAACCAGUAAGAGUGAAUGUGUGCGAAAGAAAGAGAAACAUAAAGAGGGGGGGGGGAGAGGGAGAGAGAGAGAGAGAGAGAGAGAAAGAGAGACAGGCGGAGACCGAAUAAAUAGGGGUAGACUCCAACGAAAAGUUUCCUCGUAAAGUCGAAGUGCGAUGCAAACUUUUCAGAGAGUCCAAUGAACUAGGAAAAAUCGGCCAAGUUCGUGUAUACGAUAAAAACGAAUCGAAUAUACGAGCAAUAAGGAAGGAGAGGUUAAGGAUUUCGUUUUAUCGUAUACAGAGUGGAUCUAAAAGUUCUUGGGUGAUUUAAAAGAAGGGAUAAAAAAAAAAAAAAAGGAAAAAAGAGAAGAACCAAUUAGUACACUAUUUUGCGAGACCUUUUAUCAACUAAUUUUUACUUCUUUUUUCUUUUUUCUUUCUUUCUUUUUUUUUUUUUUUCCUUUCUUUUUCGUUCACAUUGUAAAACUGCACCAAGCUUAGGAGAAACUCUUUCCUUUUAAAUCUGAAAGAGAAAAAUUACUCGAAAAAGAAUAUCCAUGUGUAAUCGAUUUUUCGAAAAAAUCCUUAGAUUGUCUUUUUAACAUUUCUCAUGUCUUAGGAACAUUUUUUGAUAUAAACUUUUUAUAAAUAAAUAUUUGACUUUAGCGUCGCCAUCUUGGAGAAUAUUGUAUUAACGAUUGAAAAUAAACGAAAUAAUAUUAAUCGAAAUAAAAUACAAAUAAAAGAAUGAUAACGUUAUUAAAUUAUAUUUUUAAUUUUUAUUGAGGAUAUAUUAUUUUUCUUAUAAUUGAACUUAUUAAAUAUCAAACGAUGUCUACUAUUUUGCUUUUCUCACUUUCGAGAAAAAAAAUUGAAUAUUCGUAAAGAGAAAUAUUAUUACGCGAUAAUAAAUUCAAUCGUUUUUAAUGCAAACGAGUUGAUUGGUUAAAGAGCUCUCUCUCUCUCUUUCUCUUUCAUACUCUUUUACCCUCUCUCACCCCACACUUUUUUUUAUAACCCUUUAUCUUUUAACGAUAAAACCACAAAUGAAAUAAAUUAUUUUAAGGAACGAUUUAUUUACUUUUGCUAGGCUCUCUCGCUCUCUCUCUCUCUCUCGCUCUCGUUCUCUCUCUCUCUUUCUCUCUUGACGUAACACAGUAAUAUCGAGAUUAGAUAUAACUUCGACGCUAUAAGUUAAAUUCAGUAGUUUCAAUGUAGGACCGCAUUAGAAAUGUCUCUAAGCUGGUGCUCCACCCCAUAAAUUGGGAUCGAGCUCAAAUUUUAAAGCCUCAUUCUCCUUAAAAACGACAAUAUAAAAAAUGUAUUAGUGUAUUUUCUAAAAUCAAGGACAGAAAAAGAAAGAACAAAAUGCGUAUAAAUUAGAUUAAAACGUUCUCGGGAUCGACGAUGAGACACAGUCCUACGUCAUUUUUAAAUUUUUAGCCUGAAGGCUAGGCAAUGUAGAUGAUGUAGUCCAAUAUCAUUUUUUUUUUCUUUUCUUUUCUUUUUUGUUUUUCAUAUUAGAGAUCGAUAAUGUAUAUUACUCAUACCUAAUUUCAUACAUUGAAAUAUGACAGAAGCAGCAUAAAAUGGAGUCCCUCACUUGUAUUGUAAUUAAUUAUUAUCAGUUAACAAAAACGGUCUUGCACUAAUAUCAUUGAUUGCAAAUGUUUUAAUAGAAAUAUAUUUUUUCCCUUCGAGAAUUCUCAGAAUGACGAUAUUAAGCGUAAAGCCCUUCGUAAAAUAUAAAUACGGUUCUGGCUUUGUUAUAAUCUCGCAAUAGGAAAAGAAGAAGAAGAAGAAGAAAAAGACAACAACAAAAGUAUUUGUUUCUUUUUGUCUCGAUUCAUUAGAAUUACAUGAAUGUAUCAUAAAAACGCUAUGACUACGAUGAACGCCAAUCAGAAAAAGUUACCGUCUAUCGAAACAAGAGCCUCCCCACUCGAUCGGCCGAUCGAUUCGGAACAUUAGAGAUUCGAGGUGGCGAUUAUUGCGCCUCGACCACAAGUUGUCGCUCCUCGAGCUCGAGCUCGAGCUCGGGACUCGAGUCGAGUCAAAGUGGAAGCUUUGGAGGAGUUCAGGAGGAGUUGGGGGGUACGGUACGGGGCUGGGUACGGGCAAGGUAGUAAAAGAUGGGAGUGAGGUGGUAUUAGUAAGACACAGGGGAUGAGGGAGGAGGAACCUUUUUUCUUUUCGGUGGGGGUGGUGCUCUUUGUCUCGUACAAAAGGACGAAAACGAGGGUAAAAGAGUAAGAGUGAGUAAGUGUAGGAGUAAGAGAGUGUUAGAGAGAGAGAGAGAGAGAGAAGAGAGCCCACUCCUCUAUCCAGGAAGGGCUCUAUGGCUUCAUUGAAGAACCAAACGACGAGAGAGGAUUAGUCUCUCGGCCUCUCAACGAUCGUGACGGCCGAUAUUAGAUCGAGAUAGAUUAGCCUACACACGGUUCUUAGGAAGAGAUUACGUCUAUUCUAGAAGUCCUGAAUAAGGUAACACUGGGUCGUAGCGCAGUGAUAAUAUAAGGAAAUAACAAUGAAGUCACUGAUCAUAACAACAGAACGCUGAUCGUACCAAGGACAUAUCAUAGUAAAAGUAAUACUGAUCAUAACAAAGACAUCAAUCAAAGUACAGAUAUACAACACAUUAGGUACACACCAAUCCAAUUACAGAUCAUAAAAUUAUCAAAAGUAAUUCAAUUAAAUACAUUAUUUUCUUUAUCAGAUGCGAAUUGAUUAGUCUUUGUAUUACGUUUCGUUCAAUUUCAAAGGAAACUUGUAUUAAUUAUAAGCUAAAAAUCAUUGAUAAGGGAAUACCAAUCAGGUCAUUGAUCAUACCAGGAAAUACCAGUCAAGUUGCAGAUCAUGAUAGUGAUACAACAGUCAAUUCACUGAUCAUACCAGGAAAUACCAGUCGGGCCACUGAUCAUAACAGAGACAACGCAAGUCAAAUCACUGAUCAUAACAGGGACACAACGGUUAAGUUACUGUUCGUACCAGGAAAUAUCAGUCAAGUUAGUGAUCAUACCAGAGACACAACAAGUAAGUCACUGAUCAUUCCAAGCACACAACAGGCGAAUCACUGAUCAUACCAGGUACAUACCAGUCAAAGUACAGGUCGUACUUGGAAAUACCGAUCAAGUUAAAGAUGAUAGAAUCAACUAUUAAAAUCACAACAGAUUAUAUCACAACAAUUGGGGGAAUUAACUGCAUCGUCUUCGUUAAUGAAAACAUUUGAUUAGUUUUCGUAUUACAUUUCGUUUCGUUUCGUUUCAUUUCAUUUCAUUUCAAAUGGAAAUUCGACUUGAUAUUUACUAAUGAGAGAAUAAUGAAGAUCGAUUAAAUACAAUUGGUAAACAGAAAUAAUCACGUAUUUAUCCAAUAUUUGAAUUUUAAUUUGAAAUUUUUUGUUAACGAUAUUACUUUUAACUUGGAUUACUAUGUGUACGUAUAUAUAUAUAUAUAUAUAUAUCUAAAAUUGUACUUUAAUAAAAUUAUUAAUUUGCCGUUAUUACGAAAGAAAAUGUCAUUUUCUACGUUAUAUUUCGGGGGAAAAAUUUUCGAAAUCAAAGUAUUACAUUAAAGAUCUAAUUACGGUAUUGCGAAUAAAAUAGUAAUUUUUCUAA